UGGGGAAUAUUGCACAAUGGGCGAAAGCCUGAUGCAGCAACGCCGCGUGAGUGAUGAAGGCCUUUGGGUUGUAAAGCUCUGUUGCUUUGGGACGAUAAUGACGGUACCAAAGGAGGAAGCCACGGCUAACUACGUGCCAGCAGCCGCGGUAAUACGUAGGUGGCAAGCGUUGUCCGGAUUUACUGGGCGUAAAGGAUGCGUAGGCGGAUUUUUAAGUGAGAUGUGAAAUACCCGGGCUUAACUUGGGUGCUGCAUUUCAAACUGGGAAUCUAGAGUGCGGGAGAGGAGAAUGGAAUUCCUAGUGUAGCGGUGAAAUGCGUAGAGAUUAGGAAGAACACCAGUGGCGAAGGCGAUUCUCUGGACCGUAACUGACGCUGAGGCAUGAAAGCGUGGGUAGCAAACAGGAUUAGAUACCCUGGUAGUCCACGCCGUAAACGAUGAGUACUAGGUGUAGGAGGUAUCGACCCCUUCUGUGCCGCAGUUAACACAAUAAGUACUCCGCCUGGGAAGUACGAUCGCAAGAUU
rnacentral:rRNA from 1 species